rnacentral:rRNA from 1 species
AUUGAACGCUGGCGGCAUGCCUUACACAUGCAAGUCGAACGGCAGCACGGGUGCUUGCACCUGGUGGCGAGUGGCGAACGGGUGAGUAAUACAUCGGAACGUACCUUAUCGUGGGGGAUAACGCAGCGAAAGCUGUGCUAAUACCGCAUACGCCCUGAGGGGGAAAGCGGGGGAUCGCAAGACCUCGCGCGAUUAGAGCGGCCGAUGCCUGAUUAGCUUGUUGGUGGGGUAAAAGCCCACCAAAGCGACGAUCAGUAGCUGGUCUGAGAGGACGAUCAGCCACACGGGGACUGAGAAACGGCCCAGACUCCUACGGGAGGCAGCAGUGGGGAAUUUUGGACAAUGGGGGCAACCCUGAUCCAGCAAUGCCGCGUGAGUGAAGAAGGCCUUCGGGUUGUAAAGCUCUUUUGUCAGGGAAGAAACACCGGCUCUAACACAGUCCGGGAAUGACGGUACCUGAAGAAUAAGCACCGGCUAACUACGUGCCAGCCGCCGCAGUAA